UUUGAUGGCGACCGGCGCACGGGUGAGUAACACGUAUCCAACCUGCCGAUGACUCGGGGAUAGCCUUUCGAAAGAAAGAUUAAUACCCGAUGGCAUAGUUCUUCCGCAUGGUGGAACUAUUAAAGAUUUUCGGUCAUCGAUGGGGAUGCGUUCCAUUAGGUUGUUGGCGGGGUAACGGCCCACCAAGCCUUCGAUGGAUAGGGGUUCUGAGAGGAAGGUCCCCCACAUUGGAACUGAGGCACGGUCCAAACUCCUACGGGAGGCAGCAUG
rnacentral:rRNA from 1 species